GACGAUUAUUGGGCCUAAAGAAUCCGUAGCCGGUCAUGCAAGUCCUCCGUUAAAUCCACCUGCUUAACAGAUGGGCUGCGGAGGAUACUACAAGGCUAGGAGGCGGAAGAGGCAAGCGGUACUCAGUGGGUAGGGGUAAAAUCCUCUGAUCCAUUGAAGACCACAAGUGGCGAAGGCGGCUUGCCAAUACGCGCUCGACGGUGAGGGAUGAAAGCUGGGGGAGCAAACCGG
rnacentral:rRNA from 1 species